AUACGUAGGCAGCGAGCGUUGUUCGGAGUUACUGGGCGUAAAGGGUGUGUAGGCGGUUGUUUAAGUUUGGUGUGAAAUCUCCCGGCUCAACUGGGAGGGUGCGCCGAAUACUGAAUGACUUGGAGUGCGGGAGAGGUGAGUGGAAUUCCUGGUGUAGCGGUGAAAUGCGUAGAUAUCAGGAGGAACACCGGUGGUGUAGACGGCUCACUGGACCGUAACUGACGCUGAGACACGAAAGCGUGGGUAGCAAACAG
rnacentral:rRNA from 1 species